ACAGAAGGUUUCAAGUCAAAAUCCUAACCAAUCUGCUUUGAUCUCAUUGAACAAGACUCGCUUGCAAUGAAUGACUGAAGUGGAUAUAAAACAUGAGUUCACUUAUAUGUGUCCCAUGAAACUUUUAUUACUCAUUUAUCCUUCUUACCUAGAACAAUGAACAUCAUCGCAGUGACAACCAUGCAGAAUUAGCAGAACCUGAAUUACUCCAGAUAUUCUCAUUCUUAAGUUCUGCUCAGGAAGUGUAUAUUCAUGCCAAGGCCAUGGCACUCAACAACUCUGGAUACAAGGCUCAGGGACUUUUAAAUAAUUCUCAGGAAGAAAGAAACUGCAGAGCCCAAGUGGAAUUCUGGAUAUAAUGAAAUCCUGCCCCAGCCUGGUGGCUUCUCUCAGAUCUUUCCUCCCGGCUUGCCGCUUCAUCGUCUCUGAACCUCCUGUGUCUCCUUCGUGAUAAACUUGCAUUUUUAGA
rnacentral:lncRNA from 1 species